AUUUUAUUUCAUGCAGAAAACGAGGUUUGCUUUCAUUUUGUUCAGUCCACGUGAUCGGGUGGGUCAUGGACUAACUACUCUGCCUCCACAUUUGCUCUCCCGUUUCGUUCUCCUCCAUCUUUUAAUUCAGAUUACUUAAUAAGAUUACCUAUUUAGCUUGCACGAAGCGACUCUAAUGAACUGCGAGCUUGCUCAAGCUCGAAGCGUUUAACGCUUCGUUGAACAACAACUGCUCAACUCCAGCUUCUCUUACAAUGCACAUAAAUUCCAAACUCACUAAUUAAACAGUUUAGUGUGCCUCGUCUAAGUCCAGUGACGGAUUCGCUUAUAUUUAAACAUUUCGUCAUGCUUAUCCUGAACACUUGCCGAUAUACACAUAAACUUGCCUUUAAGCUGAUAAUUCUAUUUAUUCUCAUAGUUCGUCUCGUUGUCAGUCCAUACAUAUUCUAAAGAGAAAUUGAAUGUUAAUCAUUAUUGAAGAUUAACAGGUAGAAUAACAAGACAGAGAGGGACCAAAGGCUUAUGAUCAUAAACUGAAGAACAAACUGAUGUUUAAACCAUAUGGAUUGUGGAUGAUGUACCUGGAUGCUCACUCGCAAACAUAAAUUCCUUUGGUCGGUUUCAAAAUGUGUCAAGAAUUUAUUAAAGGGAAAUUAUGAAUAAAUCAAGUUUGUAACCUAUUUCUAGAAACGCAAUUCAACAAAAGGCCAUCGCCUUAGCAACCAGCGAAAUGCUUGCUCAAACAAAUGAUUGACAUUGAUUGACAUCAAUUCUUUCUUCUAUUAAAAGUAACAAACAGACUUUAAAGAGAGUGUUUCAGAGUGAACGGUUCAUUGCGUUGAAGCUGUGCGAGGUACAGGCCCAGGCAAAUAAAUUGCCCUAUGACGCAUUAAGAUACAGACUUGAUUGAAUGCACUUUCGUUUUCAUCAAAACAGUUUUCAACUGUCUCUCUCUUGAAACUUCAACGUUUAAAUUCGCUGCGGUAAACGAAAGCUGAAUUAUGGCGUUGAAAAUGAGGAACAAAGUAAGCUCAUUUAUGUAUGAUGUCAUAAUAGCGGGAAUUUCCCAGGUACGCAGAAAAUUUAACCAGCAUACGGUAUGGCAAGAGCGUUUGGUAAGAGUGUUGACAGUGCACUGAUACCGACUAGCAGCACAAAUAACGCAGUAAUAAGCUUGCUGCCGCAUUGUUUGAUUUUUCUCAACUGGCCAGGGAAGCAACAACCGAGGUCUUGUGACUGUAAGUACUUAUACAGCGACAAGUGCAAUGUGUUCUUUUCAUGACACUGAUGACACUGCCGGCGUUCUGUUUAGAAGUUCGGAUUGCUCCGUGCCCGGAAACGACAAGACCGUGACAAUGGAUAAAGAGGACAAAGACGCUGCUCUAAACGAAGAAAAGUGCAAUCAUACACAAAUUCUCUUCGAAAUACAUGCUUGAACCACAAGAAGGAGGCAUUUGAAGAACUCUAACAUGCUACGAGCAACUGCACUGACAUCAGCUGGUACGAUUUGGAGUAAAAAGGCCGCAUACAAGACAUAAUCUAUGUAACUUGAGAUAAUGAAGCAUUUGAUACAAGUCGCCAUCUUAAGGCCGAUCGCGCAAGAGAAGACACUGGGACGAGGAUAACACGCGCAGCUGGCUUAGUCCAAUCUCAAGAAACCAGAGGUGCAAUGCUUUGUCAGUGAAGAAGAAACCACUGAAAGUUGAAGUCUAGUCUUCUGAGGGUACAACAGGACGGUCGGGCUUGUGUUCGUAAUUCACUAAGCAAACAGGAUCAAAGCGUCAGUGCGAAAUGGCCACUACAUGGCAAAAUAUCCUCGACAGUAUCGUUGCAAAUGGUGGACUCGUCGCAAGCUUGGAAAACGUAAAGGUAAGUGCUAAAAAAUUAAGGUAAGUCCUAAAAAAUUCCAGUGAUUAAUUAAGGUUGUUCUCUCCCCUACACCACUGUAAACAUAUAGCUUUUAAAGUACUAUAAAAUGCUUGUCUCGCUGUGUUUAUUCGAUUGGCUUCUAGAGAGAGUUUGAAUCAGUAUUUGAGCCUCGAAGUUCCACUGGCUAUCAGAAUGGUAAAGUAAAUGCUUGAGUAAAACGUGGAUAUUCAGGGGUUUAGGUGUAAUAUGGUGCCCGAAAACGUCAACACGUGGAGGGUUAUCAGACACGAAGGAAAAGUCGUUACCCCACAUCGAUUCCAAUCACCUAAACAACGAACCCCUCCACGAUUGGAA
rnacentral:lncRNA from 1 species